AUCCAUGGCAAGGCAGCACAUUCUGGUCUCUUAAUGCAGACUGUGCAUUGUGGAAAGCAUGUUUAACACUGAUGUUGAAUAUUGUUAACUGACCUCCUGGUACGCAGAAUUAUCAGAGUCCCAGAAGUAAUGUUUCCAAAUGCAGUUGCGGAAGACAGGAAUCGAUCCAAGCAGCAGCACUAUUAAAGGCUACCUCCCACCCACCCCUGCAUGCCAAGGCUCCCAAAGACUUACCCACAGCAAAAAGGAGCUUGAGGGAGCCUCAGAAUAUGAAAGCAAAGGUCUAUGAAGCUUUUCAUUAAAUGAAAUAUU